rnacentral:rRNA from 1 species
UACGAAGGGGGCUAGCGUUGCUCGGAAUCACUGGGCGUAAAGGGUGCGUAGGCGGCCAAGUAAGUUGGGGGUGAAAGCCCGUGGCUCAACCACGGAAUUGCCUUCGAUACUGCUUGGCUUGAGACCGGAAGAGGUGAGUGGAACUGCGAGUGUAGAGGUGAAAUUCGUAGAUAUUCGCAAGAACACCAGUGGCGAAGGCGGCUCACUGGUCCGGAUCUGACGCUGAGGCGCGAAAGCGUGGGGAGCAAACAGG